GUCCAGACUCCUACGGGAGGCAGCAGUGAGGAAUAUUGGUCAAUGGGCUUACGCCUGAACCAGCCAAGUCGCGUGAGGGAAGACUGCCCUAUGGGUUGUAAACCUCUUUUGUCAGGGAGCAACGCCGGCUACGUGUAGCCGGACUGAGAGUACCUGAAGAAAAAGCAUCGGCUAACUCCGUGCCAGCAGCCGCGGUAAUACGGAGGAUGCGAGCGUUAUCCGGAUUUAUUGGGUUUAAAGGGUGCGUAGGCGGAAUGCCAAGUCAGCGGUAAAAUCGCGGGGCUCAACCUCGCUCCGCCGUUGAAACUGGCGUUCUUGAGUGGGCGAGAAGUAUGCGGAAUGCGUGGUGUAGCGGUGAAAUGCAUAGAUAUAACUUAGAACACCGAUAGCGAAGGCAGCUUACCAGACUGAGUCUGACGCUGAUGCACGAGAGCAUGGGUAGCGAACAGGAUUAGAUACCCCGGUAA
rnacentral:rRNA from 1 species